GGGGCAGUGGCAUAACGGAUAACGCGCCUGACUACGGAUCAGGAGGUUUGAAUCCUGGCUGGCUCG